GACGAACGCUGGCGGCGUGCUUAACACAUGCAAGUCGAGCGAUGAAGCUCCUUCGGGAGCGGAUUAGCGGCGGACGGGUGAGUAACGCGUGGAUAACCUGCCUCAAACAGGGGGAUAACACAGGGAAACUUGUGCUAAUACCGCAUAAUACAGUUGAUUGGCAUCAAUUGACGGUCAAAGGAGAAAUCCGGUAUGAGAUGGAUCCGCGUCCAAUUAGCUAGUUGGCGGGGUAAAAGCCCACCAAGGCGACGAUUGGUAGCCGAACUGAGAGGUUGAUCGGCCACAUUGGGACUGAGACACGGCCCAGACUCCUACGGGAGGCAGCAGUGGGGAAUAUUGCGCAAUGGGGGAAACCCUGACGCAGCAACGCCGCGUGAAGGAUGAAGGUUUUCGGAUCGUAAACUUCUUUGAUGAGGGAAGAAUAAAUGACGGUACCUCAAAAACAAGCCACGGCUAACUACGUGCCAGCCGCCGCAGUAA
rnacentral:rRNA from 1 species